ACGGGGUAGGGUCUGGCCACUUCUCCAGGGGUCUAGGGGUCGCAGGCUGAGCGCGCCCUUCCGCGACCCCACCCCAGCAUCCAAUUGGCCAUCCCACUUCCCAGGCCACUUGGCCUCUUCAACCAGCGAGAAACUUCUCCCACCCGGAGAGGCGACCGGAUUGCCCCAGUGAACAGGAAAGCGCAGUGGCUUACCUUGGGCAAACCUCUGUGUCAAGGUUGGGGGACAGUGAUGAAGGGGUGAACUCCAAGACCAGGAAGCUGCGGAUGUGUGUGUGAGUCCCCAAUCCUGUGGAGCUGAGGCUGGUUCCACUGGUUCCUGGCUUCGUGAUGUGAGUCAGGCAAGCUACCCUUUUUCAUCCUAGGGAUCAGACUGUGAAUUUGGAAGGACGCCAGACACAGUGGGUUUCUGUGAGACCUAGGAAAGAAACCACGUGGUGCUGCCAUUCUGUGAGAUGGAGAAGUUGUUGGCAUUGCAUUGUAGACGAGCAGACUUUUCUGAAAGCCAGCUUCUAAAACCAUUUCCAACCUCGUCAUUGAGCACAACUCUUGAUCUUUUAUAGAACAACAACUUUUAUGAGGAACAACAGCUCGGACAAACAGCAGAAAAGUGGGUGAAGGGAGACAGCGCACAAUGUUCAUCCUGAGUUGGAAUUGGCUCCCCGGCAACUGGUUGGAUCACUCAUGGCUUUUGGUUGCAAGAAAUAGAGGCCCAAUGAUGCUUAGUAAAGUAGUGGGGCAGUGGAAAAGAGGAAGGCGUUGGACAAGAUGGAUGGACACAGUGGCUGCA